CUAGCGGCGCCGAGCUGUAGGAAGCCGACGCUGGCCGUCCCGCGUCCCACGCGAGGCACGUGGCUCUGCGUGGACGGCAGACUCUCCUCUCAGGGGGGACGGUCCACUUGCCGCAGCCUUCGAGGCCGGGAAGAUUGAACCCACUGUGAACCGCAUGCGUGUGAGCCCAGAAUAUAGUGUCAGCCCAACACACCCUUAAAAUUCCUCAUGAAAACCAAAGUAGAAGCUGCCUGGCCUCAGAUGGAGUUUUGAAAGUGAUGCGUGCAGUGCAGCUCUUCCUAGACGGGUUGACACAUCGCUCUUUGUUCUUUUUAUCACUUUGAACCUGCAAAAUCAAGUGACAGAAUUCCCUGCGAGGGAACCCAGAUCUUUGGAGAAGUUUAUAGAGCAGCUUUUAUGAAGGGUGAUGGUGGCGGUGGAGCAGAUGACUUUCCUGAAGAAACAUCAUCUCAGGAUCUUGUGGUCCUGUGCCUAUUACUUCUGUUGCUCGUGGGCAGUCUGGGCUCAGGUACUAUGGCCGGGAUGGAUCCCAGAACAAUCCAUAAGUAGAUGUGGAAAGCCUUGGGAGACACCAUGACUUCAAUUCCUAGGCAAAAAUAAGUGAAAAGUCCUUUUAAGUCAAACCAAUAAAGGCUGUUUUGACCUCUGUGUCCUCAA